UGGUUGUCAUUUGAAUAUUAAUUAUAGAGACUCCAUGAGGCGUUCGAGAGCCUUUUUAACAAGAUUUCUUAUUUACUGGAUGAUGAUUGUGUAAAAGUGUGUUAAAAAGAAAACCCACCAGAAUAACAGAGGUUUAUCUGUAUGGGCGUUAAACUGUCAAAUAUAUUGAGGUCUGGUUUUGGUGUUGGUAACAUACAGUGAUGUGAGAGGAGGAAUAGGUCGAGGGAGGAGCAACACUGUCAGAGCAGAGCAGAACAGAAAAGGACUCCUACUGUCAGAUGCAUUCAAUAUCUAAACCAGACAGGACACAGAUACUGUCUGUAAGAUGAUGUCACUGCAUUACUGUGUCAUUUUCCAGCUUCUUCUGACCAUACUAAAAGGUGUCAGCUGUGAAGAACUCACUCCAGAUAACGAUGAAGAGUCCAGUUUAGAAGGCAGCACUGUUACUCUGUCCUACAAAUACUCCAAACAAGCAACUGGUAGUGAUAGUUUCUUCUGGUAUCAACAAUAUCCAGGAAAACCACCAGAGUUCCUCAUCUCUCAUUUAGGAACAGGAAGACCAAUAUCAGAUCCGGUCUCUGGACUGUCUUUUAAAGUGAGUGAGGAUAAAACCCAAAUGGAUCUGCAGAUCUCCUCUGCUGCAGUGACUCACUCUGCUGUGUACUACUGUGCUGUGAGGCCCACAGUGACAGGAAACACCAAGACUCUGUACAAAAACCUUUGGAGCAAAGACAACAGAAUACUCCACAAUGUCCACUAGAUGGGAGUCACACACCGUUAACCUUCAAUGUAUUUUAUGAUACAGUCUGGAUUAUUGUAGUGGUGAUAGAAACAACAGAAAAUGAAGCACUAAAGGUAAAACAGACUGAGGGAAAGUGUUGUUUCAUACGACAUAAACUCUGAUGAUAAUGAAGGGUUGUAGAAUAUCAUAUAUAUGAACAAUACAUCUUCAUAAUCGAGUGUAACA